CGUGUAGGCGGUCUGUUAAGUCUGGCGUGAAAGCUCUCGGCUAAACCGGGAGAGGUCGUUGGAUACUGACGGACUAGAGGACGGUAGAGGCGUGUGGAAUUCCGGGUGUAGUGGUGAAAUGCGUAGAGAUCCGGAGGAACACCAGUGGCGAAGGCGACACGCUGGGCCGUACCUGACGCUAAAGCGCGACAGCAUGGGGAAGCAAACG
rnacentral:rRNA from 1 species